GAUGAACGCUGGCGGCGUGCUUAACACAUGCAAGUCGAACGGUGAAGCAGGAGCUUGCUCUUGUGGAUCAGUGGCGAACGGGUGAGUAACACGUGAGCAACCUGCCCCUGACUCUGGGAUAAGCGCUGGAAACGGCGUCUAAUACUGGAUAUGUGAUGUGACCGCAUGGUCUGCAUCUGGAAAGAACUUCGGUUGGGGAUGGGCUCGCGGCCUAUCAGCUUGUUGGUGAGGUAAUGGCUCACCAAGGCGUCGACGGGUGGCCGGCCUGAGGGGGUGACCGGCCACACUGGGACUGAGACACGGCCCAGACUCCUACGGGAGGCAGCAGUGGGGAAUAUUGCACAAUGGGCGGAAGCCUGAUGCAGCAACGCCGCGUGAGGGAUGACGGCCUUCGGGUUGUAAACCUCUUUUAGCAGGGAAGAAGCGAAAGUGACGGUACCUGCAGAAAAGCACCGGCUAACUACGUGCCAGCCGCCGCAGUAA
rnacentral:rRNA from 1 species